AUCAGGGGUAAACCUGUGGAACUCGAACGAGCGAACGGGGAGAUUCGUCGUCGUUCCGAUUGACGAAGGCGGGUAGCGYGGCAUUAGAGCUUCUCUGGUGUUUCGUUGUUCGUCUUGAGCCAAUCGGAGGGCGUGCACUUCUCCCUUAGUAAAACACCGCGACCCGUUGCGUCGGUGGGUCGAACGCGCCGUGCGGUUGUCCCGCUUUCCCCUUUCACGAGGGGGGGUGGAGCCGCGGUGUCGCGGCCCUCCUGCGACGGUAGAGAACGAGGACCGUUUCCGCCCAUACUUGGGCGUCCGCGAYGUAGCGGUGUCGUUCCCCGUACGGUCCUCGGCACGCAAGUGUCGCGGGUAUCGUGCGCGGUUGACGGGAGAGGAUUUAUUCUCUCUCGUCGCGAACGGCACGUCAGUGGCGUCGGUUCGGACGGGAAGCGUCCCGGUCAGCGGUG
rnacentral:rRNA from 1 species